rnacentral:rRNA from 1 species
UACGGAGGAGGCAAGCGUUAUCCGGAAUUAUUGGGCGUAAAGCGUCCGCAGGUGGCACCUCAAGUCUGCUGUCAAAGACCGGGGCUUAACCCCAGAAAGGCAGUGGAAACUGAAGUGCUAGAGUGCAGUAGGGGUAGAGGGAAUUCCCGGUGUAGCGGUGAAAUGCGUAGAGAUCGGGAAGAACAUCGGUGGCGAAAGCGCUCUGGUGGACUGCAACUGACACUCAGGGACGAAAGCUAGGGGAGCGAAUGGG